GCUACAAGUCACAGCGAGCAAUGCCAAUGUGCUGCACGCCAAACGGUAGUGCAUUGCCACACACACACACACACACACACACUAGCCAGCCACUGCGCUGUAUCAUAUCAUCACUAAUGGCACUGACCGAAUCUUCUACCGGACCGAAGUUUUAACUUGUAGGCUAAAUGUCCGUGCCAAGUUACGAUUCCAACGAAUCGUUGGAGUAGCCUACAGAAAACGUCAUCAUGGUUGUCAAAAAGUUAUAAGAUAAAGGGUUCACACGCAGCGUUCCUGAUGCACAGCAGACAACGUUGCCUCUGUCUGAAAACACGGGACCGUGUGAAUUCCAGUAACAUAGUCCAAUCCACCGUUCAUCCGAGGAGUGCAAUGUGUGACCAUGUGGAGAUAGUGGUGCAGUUGAAAAUACCAUCAAAAUAUAUCUGCCUGAAUCCAGACUCUAAAAUGGGCAAGAGAAUACAGACUAAGUGGAACCUGAAGAACUGAGCCAAACAUGAUAACACAAACUAUGUGAUGAUGAUAUAACUGACUGUACUGACCAAAAAGUACAUGUAACUAUGUUGUCUUUCUCUGCAGUUUCAGGUAACUUUACUUCUUCCACUGACAAUGCAAUUAGAAAGUGUAUUUCAGAGCUACAGGGUAAUGCACAAAGCUCGUAACAACAUUCUAGAAAAUCUCUGCUAUGACAAGCCUGUAACAACAUUCUAGAACAUCUCUGCUAUGACAAGGCUGUAACAACAUUCUAGAACAUCUCUGCUAUGACAAGCCUGUAACAACAUUCUAGAACAUCUCUGCUAUGACAAGCCUGUAACAACAUUCUAGAACAUCUCUGCUAUGACAAGCCUGUAACAUAAUUCUAGAACAUCUCUGCUAUGACAAGCCUGUAACAUAAUUCUAGAACAUCUCUGCUAUGACAAGCCUGUAACAACAUCCUAGAACAUCUCUGCUAUGACAAGCCUGUAACAUCAUUCUAGAACAUUUCUGCUAUGACAAGCCUGUAACAACAUUCUAGAACAUCUCUGCUAUGACAAGCCUGUAACAUCAUUCUAGAGCAUCUCUGCUAUGACAAGCCUGUAACAACAUUCUAGAACAUCUCUGCUAUGACAAGCCUGUAACAACAUUCUAGAACAUCUCUGCUAUGACAAGCCUUUAACAUCAUUCUAGAACAUCUCUGCUAUGACAAGCCUGUAACAACAUUCUAGAACAUCUCUGCUAUGACAAGCCUGUAACAACAUUCUAGAACAUCUCUGCUAUGACAAGCCUGUAACAUCAUUCUAGAGCAUCUCUGCUAUGACAAGCCUGUAACAACAUUCUAGAACAUCUCUGCUAUGACAAGCCUGUAACAACAUUCUAGAACAUCUCUGCUAUGACAAGCCUGUAACAACAUUCUAGAACAUCUCUGCUAUGACAAGCCUGUAACAACAUUCUAGAACAUCUCUGCUAUGACAAGCCUGUAACAACAUUCUAGAACAUCUCUGCUAUGACAAGCCUGUAACAACAUUCUAGAACAUCUCUGCUAUGACAAGCCUGUAACAUCAUUCUAGAACAUCUCUGCUAUGACAAGCCUGUAACAACAUUCUAGAACAUCUCUGCUAUGACAAGCCUGUAACAACAUUCUAGAACAUCUCUGCUAUGACAAGCCUGUAACAACAUUCUAGAACAUGUAAUGGGAAUUGAAAUGUUUGUGCUUUUCUUAUAACUAAUGUCUGUGUUCAUGCAAGUGACUGACUGAACCAAUUCUCACUAUCAGUAUCUGCAAUUUGGCAGUACACCCAGACCUUGUUUUGAGAACGAAAGAUAUCUCAGUUUCAAGGUCUCAGCGCAGAGAGAAGAAGCCUUGUGAGGUAUUGGUCUGUCACAUGUUAAGAACCAGCAUCUGUCAUUCACAUGAAUGAAACAAAACGGUAAUGAUUCAUUAAGUAUGCUAAAUCAUGCACAUAUUAUUUGUCUGUGUAUAGCUGUAUAUAAGAAAACUGCUGGGACUGCCCCAGGAGAGCUCCUGAUUGACAUGUGUACUAUGGUGCAUUGAUUUGGUUCGAACUUCUCCAGCUUGCUGUCAAUAAACAAUGAUUAAUAUUAA